GAUGAACGCUGGCGGCGUGCCUAAUACAUGCAAGUCGAGCGAACAGACGAGGAGCUUGCUCCUCUGACGUUAGCGGCGGACGGGUGAGUAACACGUGGAUAACCUACCUAUAAGACUGGGAUAACUUCGGGAAACCGGAGCUAAUACCGGAUAAUAUAUUGAACCGCAUGGUUCAAUAGUGAAAGACGGUUUUGCUGUCACUUAUAGAUGGAUCCGCGCCGCAUUAGCUAGUUGGUAAGGUAACGGCUUACCAAGGCAACGAUGCGUAGCCGACCUGAGAGGGUGAUCGGCCACACUGGAACUGAGACACGGUCCAGACUCCUACGGGAGGCAGCAGUAGGGAAUCUUCCGCAAUGGGCGAAAGCCUGACGGAGCAACGCCGCGUGAGUGAUGAAGGUCUUCGGAUCGUACAACUCUGUUAUUAGGGAAGAACAAAUGUGUAAGUAACUAUGCACGUCUUGACGGUACCUAAUCAGAAAGCCACGGCUAACUACGUG
rnacentral:rRNA from 1 species